rnacentral:sRNA from 1 species
GUGUGAAGAAGAGGCGAGAACGACCCCCGGACCGACCAAAGCCCGCGCGCCGCUGCAUCCCGCGUCCAGCACCUACGUCCCGCUGCCGUCGCCGCCGCCACCAUGCCCAAGAGAAAGGCUGAAGGGGAUGCUAAGGGAGAUAAAGCAAAGGUGAAGGACGAAGUAAGUCAUUCUCUCUUCAAGGGUCAAAGCCUUGGACUAGCAGAGGCCACUGGACUCGCCACAGAGAAGAUCCGCGAGGUUGUCUGCUAAACCUGCUCCUCCAAAGCCAGAGCCCAAGCCUAAAAAGGCCCCUGCAAAGAAGGGAGAGAAGGUACCCAAAGGGAAAAAGGGAAAAGCUGAUGCUGGCAAGGAGGGGAAUAACCCUGCAGAAAAUGGAGAUGCCAAAACAGACCAGGCACAGAAAGCUGAAGGUGCUGGAGAUGCCAAGUGAAGUGUGUGCAUUUUUGAUAACUGUGUACUUCUGGUGACUGUACAGUUUGAAAUACUAUUUUUUAUCAAGUUUUAUAAAAAUGCAGAAUUUUGUUUUACUUUUUUUUUUUUUUUUAAAGCUAUGUUGUUAGCACACAGAACACUUCAUUGUUGUUUUUGGGGGAAGGGGCAUAUGUCACUAAUAGAAUGUCUCCAAAGCUGGAUUGAUGUGGAGAAAACACCUUUCCCUUCUAGUUUUGAGAGACUUCCUCUUGGCUCCCAGGAGGAGUGAUUCCCUGACUUUGACACACAUGGCCACCUUGGCACAAAAGCCUUGUGGUAUAGAAAAACAAAUUUGUUUUUAUGUCCUCUUCUCCCUUUCCAUCUUUCAGCAUACACUUAACUCCCUUAAGCCCAGACAUCUGUUGGGACCUGACCCCUA